rnacentral:snRNA from 1 species
GGAUGUGAGGGCGAUCUGGCUGCGACAUCUGUCACCCCACUGAUCGCCUGGGUUGAUUCGGCUGAUCUGGCUGGCCAGGCAGGUGUCCCCUUCCUCCCUCCAUGCUCCAUGUGCAUCCCUCCCCAAGCUGCGUGCUCGGUCAAAGAGGACAACCGCCCCCAAUAGAGAAGGACCGUCCCUCUGUCAAGGGCAUAUGAGUAGCUGCGCUCCCCUGCUAGCACCUCCAAACAAGCUGUCAAGGUCAGAUUCUUGGACAGCAUUGCUUCAAUCAUCCAUCCAAUUGUGUCAGUUCACAUAAAGAGAAAGAAGCUGUGUAUCCAUUAUAAGUGCUGCCUUUCAUU